rnacentral:sRNA from 1 species
GAAAUGAACACACACGUCCAAUACGUCCGGUU